rnacentral:rRNA from 1 species
AGAGUUUGAUCCUGGCUCAGGAUGAACGCUAGCGGCAGGCCUAAUACAUGCAAGUCGAACGGUGGUAGCAAUACCAUAGUGGCGCACGGGUGCGUAACGCGUAACCAACCUACCCAGUUCUGGGGGAUAGCCCGCCGAAAGGCGGAUUAAUACCGCAUAACACCAGGUGGCGGCAUCGUCUCUUGGUUAAAGAUUUAUUGGAAUUGGAUGGGGUUGCGUGCCAUUAGCUAGUUGGGGGGUAACGGCCCACCAAGGCGACGAUGGCUAGGGGAGCUGAGAGGCUGGUCCCCCACACGGGCACUGAGAUACGGGCCCGACUCCUACGGGAGGCAGCAGUAGGGAAUAUUGGGCAAUGGGCGAGAGCCUGACCCAGCCAUGCCGCGUGCAGGAUGAAGGCUUUCUGAGUCGUAAACUGCUUUUGCCAGGGAAGAAAAAAGGGGAUGCGUCCUCUACUGACGGUACCUGGUGAAUAAGCACCGGCUAACUCCGUG